CUGUACAGCCUGCAGGUCCCUGUUCAAAAGGUCUCUUCUCCACAGGAAGAGAAGAAGCCCUUAGGCAUGAGAACACCUUGAUUUGCUUGCUCCUUUCCUGAAGCCAGGAACGCCCCAGGCUCCUCCUUGUCCUGCCAUCAUCAACCAAGGCUUCUGGCAGCAGACCAGUAAGCAGUAAGUUGAUGAGAGACAUUUCUGUGAAGACACAACAUCAGACACUGCAAUGAAUUCUUGUGCUUCUAAACGCUGUGCCCUAUCCCCUCCGCUCUGGACUCCUCGAGCUCCACAAGGCUGGGAACAGACCGACUCCAUCCGUGCCAAAAAGCCGCACCCACAGCAAUCACAUCCUGGAACAGAGACAGCUUCUGUAGGGAAGGUAUGCCUGAAAGAAGCUGUAAAGCUCAGGAGCACGAUGCCAGUGAGAGUUAAUCAGAUCUGUGCUUCUUAACUGGGGAGGGUUUUUUUUUUUUUGUCUUUUUUUUUUUUUUUUUUUUUAAACCUUGCUUUUUAAAAUGAGUGCUGAUUUUGUGCUAUCUUCAGGAUACCUGUGCUCACAUCCAGGUGGUCAGACAGACACUGUGCUCUUGCAUUGCACCCAGCAAGCGUGCCCACGUCCCCCGUGCCCAGCCUGCUGGGUGUUAUUUAAGCUGUAAGAUAUGAUAGAGCAUGCUUUAUGGUGCCAUUAAUUGAUGCUAUGGGUGACUUUAACCACCUAAGAAGUAUAUUAAUGGCCCUAUAAAAUACACCCUGGAGUGUCUUAAUAUGCUUAUGAGAUUGAUCGUCAGCUUUGUAUUCCACUGUGUGUGUUAUUAUUGAAAUAAAUUGCAGAGGAGGGCGAUAGUGCAUCCCGGGGAGGGGUGAGUUAUCUUUUCUUGGGCUCUUGUGGUCCCAAAGUCAUACGGUCUUCUGUGGAGCAUGCUGUGAGAUGGUGCCCAAACCAGUGAAAAACCACAAGUGUGUCCAUGUUGGCUGCUCUGUGGCACUGACCAGAUCUGCAUGUGUUUGGAUCUGGAGCUUUCCUCCAAGAGCAGCAGCUGCCAUGGAGCAGUACCAGCUUGUACAGAAACACAGUGCAGACAGUUCCUCUCUGGUAGAUGUUGGGACUACUGUGGACAACAAUUCCUGUUUGGGAAGUGCAGUAAACCAUGAUUUUCCUAUUGAUAGAUGCUGGCAGCAUGACUGUACCAACAGGAAAACAG